UUAUAAAAACAUUCUUAAAGUUAUACAUUUUAAAACAUAACACGGCUACACUUGAGCGUUUUAGUAGUAGUUAGGAAGUAGUACAAUAUUAGUAAGCAACCCGUACCAAGGAUGUAGUAUAAUAUUUGGGGCAACACGUACUAAGUGAGACAUUUUUGCGUGUGUAUUAGUGAAAAUCUUAGGAUUGGUUACUUGUAGAUUUAUGCAAUGGUGUCGGUGACUGUUUGAAGCAUUACGAUUGGACACAUGUAGACAUCGUAAAGGGGGGGCAUAAAACUGCUCACAUAAGAAUUUUUAUCAAUAAGCAGAGGAAACCUGUAGAAAAUAAUAAACCUAUUUUAACCCGCCCAUAAUGUGCUUGAUCGGUAUAUCGUUUUAGAAAGAUUUUAUAAAAAGUUUCGGUGUCUUUGGGAUGAAAUUUACAUUACAUAUAAUUUUAUUAAUAGACGCCCUGAUGCUUUAGAUUGCGUACAUAGUGAUUUCAAUUUGGAAACUGAUUUAUGUAUGACAACAAUUUGGAAAGUGAAAUUGCAAAAAAUAUGUUUCGAUGUAAAGAAACAAACAUUACGUUGUAAAUGAUACAAUAUUGCGUAUUUGUAAAUUACCAUACUCCUACGAUCAAAUUGCUUUUAUCAAAGUAAAUGUUUUAGUGUGCAUCUAAUUGUUUUCAAAGCUAAUAUGUGGCCAGUAUUAUAGUGCUCACCACCAACAAAAGUUAGAAUCAUGGGAAAUUUCUUCAUUUGCAACACCUCUUUGCAUUCAUUGAAACAAUUUAAAAAUCUAACCUGAUAAUAUGAAUACUUUGUUUAAAUAAAAACAGGAUUUUUUCUAUGCCAAA